UAUUAAUAAUCUCAUGCAUGCCUCCUUUAAUUUGAUUCAUGCCAAUUAAUUAGCACAUGCAUGCCUCGAUGAUUAACAUGCUUCUUUGGGUCUUUCUUCGUGUUUCAUGCCUGCAUGCUUGUAUCUAAUACUUCAUAUAACGUUAUUGAUAUUGGCGUGUAACACAUUGUUGAGUGGCAUGUGAGACGCUCACAUUCACCGGGUCGCGUGUACGCGUAGGGGUGGCAGGAGUACCAGAACUCGCGGGUAUCCGACCCACCCCUACCCGACCGGGGCAGGUUUAAAUUCGACCCAGAUCCCAGAAACACACACAGCAACCAUCCCUCAUACCCACUUACCCAUAUCACAGAAACACACACAGCAGCCACCUUGCUCACCGUCGUUGCUCAGUUGCUCACCUUGCCGCUCUCCCUCACCGAACUCACUUCGCUUGCACUUCUCUCGUUUGCCGUCACUCUCUUCGCCGCUCGUCUCUUCGAGUUGUGGUCUCCGUUCCCUCCUUCCUCUGUCGUCACGUCACUGGUUUGAAUUUUGACCUCCAAACUUUUAAUGAUGAUGAAGAUGUUGAAAGUGAUCAAGUAUAAGGAUUGAAGACUCUUAUAUUUAAUUAUGUAAUAUUUUUAUUAUGGUGUUAAAUUUGUAGUAAUCAAACAUUAACUUUUUUUACUCUCAAGUUAUUUGA